GACGAACGCUGGCGGCGUGCUUAACACAUGCAAGUCGAACGGUGAAGCGCCUUCCUUUUUGGUGGGUGUGGAUGAGUGGCGAACGGGUGAGUAACACGUGAGUAACCUGCUCCCUUCUUCUGGAUAACCGCAUGAAAGUGUGGCUAAUACGGGAUAUUCUGGGUCUGUCGCAUGAUGGGUCUGGGAAAGAUAUUGUUUCGGUGGGGGAUGGGCUCGCGGCCUAUCAGCUUGUUGGUGGGGUGAUGGCCUACCAAGGCGGUGACGGGUAGCCGGCCUGAGAGGGUGGACGGUCACACUGGGACUGAGACACGGACCAGACUCCUACGGGAGGCAGCAGUGGGGAAUAUUGCACAAUGGGCGCAAGCCUGAUGCAGCGACGCCGCGUGAGGGAUGGAGGCCUUCGGGUUGUGAACCUCUUUCGCCAGUGAAGCAGGCCUGCCUCGUUUGUGGGUGGGUUGACGGUAGCUGGAUAAGAAGCGCCGGCUAACUACGUG
rnacentral:rRNA from 1 species